rnacentral:tRNA from 1 species
GGCGACGUAGCCAAGUGGUAAGGCAGUUCUCUGCAAAAGAACUAUUCAGCGGUUCGAAUCCGCUCGUCGCCUCCA